CCGACGACUGGCCCUAGACCCUCGCUGAAGGCUUCUGGUUACUCCCGUUCCCACCCUAUCCCUUAAUUUUAUUUUUCUGAAGAAUCUGCAGUUCAAGCUAUCAAGGUGGAGAGAGCAAUUACAGAAAGACGUGUUCAUUGUUUCAGAUGGAGGACCAACAAACAGAACGCAUUCCUAUCGAUGGGCACACGUCCCUCUCUUCAGCAAAGCUCCCAGACGCUAAACCGAGGCCAGGCCGCAAGGCCACGCCGAGCCCUCAGGACGCCAGGCCCGGGCGGGUCAGGGAGGAGAGGCGAGGAAAAGGUUCUUCUAUGCAAGCAUGAGGCUGGGACUCCGGAACAAAGCGCCGGCCCAGGAAGACCAGGCGGCCCGGCGGCGCACACUCACUGGGCUCCCGGCGCUACGCAAGAGUCCCGCAGCGCGCCGGCCCGCCGCCCUUACGCCACUGGCUUGGCCCCAGAGCCUUCGCGAAUAUGGCUUUGCGCACUGCGGCGAGGCUGCGCCGCAACCGAGCUUGCCCGCUGGCUCCUCCCCGCCGCCCUGCGCGGAUUGGUAGCGGACGGAAGCCCGGCUGCUGAUUGGAUAGCGAAGGAGCCACUCGGGGA
rnacentral:lncRNA from 1 species